rnacentral:rRNA from 1 species
UAACCGGCGAUUUCCGAAUGGGGAAACCCAGUGUGAUUCGUCACACUAUCAUUAACUGAAUCCAUAGGUUAAUGAGGCGAACCGGGGGAACUGAAACAUCUAAGUACCCCGAGGAAAAGAAAUCAACCGAGAUUCCCCCAGUAGCGGCGAGCGAACGGGGAGCAGCCCAGAGCCUGAAUCAGUGUGUGUGUUAGUGGAAGCGUCUGGAAAGGCGCGCGAUACAGGGUGACAGCCCCGUACACAAAAAUACACAUAUUGUGAGCUCGAUGAGUAGGGCGGGACACGUGGUAUCCUGUCUGAAUAUGGGGGGACCAUCCUCCAAGGCUAAAUACUCCUGACUGACCGAUAGUGAACCAGUACCGUGAGGGAAAGGCGAAAAGAACCCCGGCGAGGGGAGUGAAAAAGAACCUGAAACCGUGUACGUACAAGCAGUGGGAGCACGCUUAGGCGUGUGACUGCGUACCUUUUGUAUAAUGGGUCAGCGACUUAUAUUCUGUAGCAAGGUUAACCGAAUAGGGGAGCCGAAGGGAAACCGAGUCUUAACUGGGCGUUAAGUUGCAGGGUAUAGACCCGAAACCCGGUGAUCUAGCCAUGGGCAGGUUGAAGGUUGGGUAACACUAACUGGAGGACCGAACCGACUAAUGUUGAAAAAUUAGCGGAUGACUUGUGGCUGGGGGUGAAAGGCCAAUCAAACCGGGAGAUAGCUGGUUCUCCCCGAAAGCUAUUUAGGUAGCGCCUCGUGAAUUCAUCUCCGGGGGUAGAGCACUGUUUCGGCAAGGGGGUCAUCCCGACUUACCAACCCGAUGCAAACUGCGAAUACCGGAGAAUGUUAUCACGGGAGACACACGGCGGGUGCUAACGUCCGUCGUGAAGAGGGAAACAACCCAGACCGCCAGCUAAGGUCCCAAAGUCAUGGUUAAGUGGGAAACGAUGUGGGAAGGCCCAGACAGCCAGGAUGUUGGCUUAGAAGCAGCCAUCAUUUAAAGAAAGCGUAAUAGCUCACUGGUCGAGUCGGCCUGCGCGGAAGAUGUAACGGGGCUAAACCAUGCACCGAAGCUGCGGCAGCGACGCUUAUGCGUUGUUGGGUAGGGGAGCGUUCUGUAAGCCUGCGAAGGUGUGCUGUGAGGCAUGCUGGAGGUAUCAGAAGUGCGAAUGCUGACAUAAGUAACGAUAAAGCGGGUGAAAAGCCCGCUCGCCGGAAGACCAAGGGUUCCUGUCCAACGUUAAUCGGGGCAGGGUGAGUCGACCCCUAAGGCGAGGCCGAAAGGCGUAGUCGAUGGGAAACAGGUUAAUAUUCCUGUACUUGGUGUUACUGCGAAGGGGGGACGGAGAAGGCUAUGUUGGCCGGGCGACGGUUGUCCCGGUUUAAGCGUGUAGGCUGGUUUUCCAGGCAAAUCCGGAAAAUCAAGGCUGAGGCGUGAUGACGAGGCACUACGGUGCUGAAGCAACAAAUGCCCUGCUUCCAGGAAAAGCCUCUAAGCAUCAGGUAACAUCAAAUCGUACCCCAAACCGACACAGGUGGUCAGGUAGAGAAUACCAAGGCGCUUGAGAGAACUCGGGUGAAGGAACUAGGCAAAAUGGUGCCGUAACUUCGGGAGAAGGCACGCUGAUAUGUAGGUGAAGUCCCUUGCGGAUGGAGCUGAAAUCAGUCGAAGAUACCAGCUGGCUGCAACUGUUUAUUAAAAACACAGCACUGUGCAAACACGAAAGUGGACGUAUACGGUGUGACGCCUGCCCGGUGCCGGAAGGUUAAUUGAUGGGGUCAGCGCAAGCGAAGCUCUUGAUCGAAGCCCCGGUAAACGGCGGCCGUAACUAUAACGGUCCUAAGGUAGCGAAAUUCCUUGUCGGGUAAGUUCCGACCUGCACGAAUGGCGUAAUGAUGGCCAGGCUGUCUCCACCCGAGACUCAGUGAAAUUGAACUCGCUGUGAAGAUGCAGUGUACCCGCGGCAAGACGGAAAGACCCCGUGAACCUUUACUAUAGCUUGACACUGAACAUUGAGCCUUGAUGUGUAGGAUAGGUGGGAGGCUUUGAAGUGUGGACGCCAGUCUGCAUGGAGCCGGCCUUGAAAUACCACCCUUUAAUGUUUGAUGUUCUAACGUGGACCCGUGAUCCGGGUUGCGGACAGUGUCUGGUGGGUAGUUUGACUGGGGCGGUCUCCUCCUAAAGAGUAACGGAGGAGCACGAAGGUUGGCUAAUCCUGGUCGGACAUCAGGAGGUUAGUGCAAUGGCAUAAGCCAGCUUGACUGCGAGCGUGACGGCGCGAGCAGGUGCGAAAGCAGGUCAUAGUGAUCCGGUGGUUCUGAAUGGAAGGGCCAUCGCUCAACGGAUAAAAGGUACUCCGGGGAUAACAGGCUGAUACCGCCCAAGAGUUCAUAUCGACGGCGGUGUUUGGCACCUCGAUGUCGGCUCAUCACAUCCUGGGGCUGAAGUAGGUCCCAAGGGUAUGGCUGUUCGCCAUUUAAAGUGGUACGCGAGCUGGGUUUAGAACGUCGUGAGACAGUUCGGUCCCUAUCUGCCGUGGGCGCUGGAGAACUGAGGGGGGCUGCUCCUAGUACGAGAGGACCGGAGUGGACGCAUCACUGGUGUUCGGGUUGUCAUGCCAAUGGCACUGCCCGGUAGCUAAAUGCGGAAGAGAUAAGUGCUGAAAGCAUCUAAGCACGAAACUUGCCCCGAGAUGAGUUCUCCCUGACCCUUUAAGGGUCCUGAAGGAACGUUGAAGACGACGACGUUGAUAGGCCGGGUGUGUAAGCGCAGCGAUGCGUUGAGCUAACCGGUACUAAUGAACCGUGAGG